ACGAACGUUGGCGGCGUGCCUAAUACAUGCAAGUCGAGCGAAUCUUUAGGAGCUUGCUCCUAUUGGUUAGCGGCGGACGGGUGAGUAACACGUGGGCAACCUGCCUGUAAGACUGGGAUAACACCGGGAAACCGGUGCUAAUACCGGAUAAUCCUUUUCCUCACAUGAGGGAAAGCUGAAAGACGGUUUCGGCUGUCACUUACAGAUGGGCCCGCGGCGCAUUAGCUAGUUGGUGAGGUAACGGCUCACCAAGGCGACGAUGCGUAGCCG
rnacentral:rRNA from 1 species